CUUGAUUCUAAUAGGAAAGUGUGUAACACCCGAUCCCUUUUCGAAUUCGAUUUGUGAAACCACUAGCCGCUGCAUGUACUACAAGUGUGGGAGACGCAGUAGAGUCAAG